rnacentral:rRNA from 1 species
AGCAGUAGCCGCGGUAAUACAGAGGGUGCGAGCGUUAAUCGGAUUUACUGGGCGUAAAGCGUGCGUAGGCGGCUUUUUAAGUCGGAUGUGAAAUCCCUGAGCUUAACUUAGGAAUUGCAUUCGAUACUGGGAAGCUAGAGUAUGGGAGAGGAUGGUAGAAUUCCAGGUGUAGCGGUGAAAUGCGUAGAGAUCUGGAGGAAUACCGAUGGCGAAGGCAGCCAUCUGGCCUAAUACUGACGCUGAGGUACGAAAGCAUGGGGAGCAAACAGGAUUAGAUACCCCUGUAGUCCCUGUCUUUUAUAC